rnacentral:lncRNA from 1 species
UGCCUAUGCUUUGCCCUCAGGAAAGAUUGUGGCAUAUUACUGAACUAAGCAACCUAGUGACGUGUCUCUUCUGACUGGGGCUUGCCCACAGAGACAACUGUGACAUAGCACUGAGCCCAGGACCCAGGUGAUGUGACUCUGCUGCCUGUUUCCAACAUUCAUGAGAGGAUGGUAACUAUCCCUUGCCAAGAACUCAGGUGAUUUGACUGUCCUGCCUUGUUGCUGCCCUCAGAGAAGAUUGUGAUAUAUCUUCAGCCCCAAACCCAGACUUUCCUGCAGGAGUGAUGCUGACAUGUUCCUCUAUUUGGCAUCUGAGUGAUAUGACUCUUGCCAUGGUCUAGCCCACAGAUGGAAUUGUGAUGUGUUGCUGUACCCAGCACCUAGUUUUUGCCCACAGGGGAGAUUGUGACAUAUCACUGGGCCUCAAACUAAGGUGAAGUUACACUUUCAUUUUCGAACUGUACUCAGAAGGCAUCGUGACAUAUUCCUGGGCCCAGCACCAAGGUGAUGUGAGUCUCCUGCCUGCACUUUGCCCACAAAUGGCAUUGUAACAUAUCUUUAGACCUAUCAACUACUUGAUAUGACUUAUUUUUUUAAAGUGAAAGCAAGUUUAUUAGAGAAGUAAAUAAACAAAAGAAUGGCUACUCCAUAGACAGAGAAGACCUCAGGGCUGCUCAUUGGCUCUUUUCAUGGUUAUUUCUUGAGUACAUACUAAACAAGGGAUGGAUUAUUUGUGAGUUUUCCAGGGAAAGGAUGGGCAAUUUCCAGAACUCAGGGUGCCUUCCCUUUUUAGACCAUAUAGGAUACCUUCCUAACAUUGCCAUGACAUUUGUAAAGUGUCAUGGUGCUGUUGGGAGUGUCUUUUAGCAUACUGAUGCAUUACAUUUAGUGUAUAAUGAGCAGUGAGGACUAACAGAGGUCACUUUCAUUGCAGUUUUUCUUUCGGUGGGUUUUUGCUGUCUUUUGUCCUGUAUCCUCUUUUAUCAGCAAGGUGUUUGUGAAUGGUACCUUGUGGUGACCUCUUGUCUUAUCCUGUGACAUAGAAUGCCUGAUCUUCUGAGAGCACAGGAAUUGGGUUAAUUCCUUUCUUUUUGAGGUCUCCAGAUAACUCGGGGCUCUUGGGCCUGGCAGAA